UAGGGAAUCUUCCACAAUGGACGCAAGUCUGAUGGAGCAACGCCGCGUGAGUGAAGAAGGUUUUCGGAUCGUAAAGCUCUGUUGUUGGUGAAGAAGGAUAGAGGUAGUAACUGGCCUUUAUUUGACGGUAAUCAACCAGAAAGUCACGGCUAACUACGUGCCAGCAGCCGCGGUAAUACGUAGGUGGCAAGCGUUGUCCGGAUUUAUUGGGCGUAAAGCGAGCGCAGGCGGAAGAAUAAGUCUGAUGUGAAAGCCCUCGGCUUAACCGAGGAACUGCAUCGGAAACUGUUUUUCUUGAGUGCAGAAGAGGAGAGUGGAAUUCCAUGUGUAGAGGUGGAAUGCGUAGAUAUAUGGAAGAACACCAGUGGCGAAGGCGACUCUCUGGUCUGCAACUGACGCUGAGGCUCGAAAGCAUGGGUAGCGAACAGG
rnacentral:rRNA from 1 species